rnacentral:rRNA from 1 species
CGCUAGCUACAGGCUUAACACAUGCAAGUCGAGGGGCAUCAGGAAGAAAGCUUGCUUUCUUUGCUGGCGACCGGCGCACGGGUGAGUAACACGUAUCCAACCUGCCCUUUACUCGGGGAUAGCCUUUCGAAAGAAAGAUUAAUACCCGAUAGUAUAAUGAUUCCGCAUGGUUUCAUUAUUAAAGGAUUCCGGUAAAGGAUGGGGAUGCGUUCCAUUAGGUUGUUGGUGAGGUAACGGCCCACCAAGCCUUCGAUGGAUAGGGGUUCUGAGAGGAAGGUCCCCCACAUUGGAACUGAGACACGGUCCAAACUCCUACGGGAGGCAGCAGUGAGGAAUAUUGGUCAAUGGGCGCUAGCCUGAACCAGCCAAGUAGCGUGAAGGAUGAAGGCUCUAUGGGUCGUAAACUUCUUUUAUAUAAGAAUAAAGUGCAGUAUGUAUACUGUUUUGUAUGUAUUAUAUGAAUAAGGAUCGGCUAACUCCGUGCCAGCAGCCGCGGUAAUACGGAGGAUCCGAGCGUUAUCCGGAUUUAUUGGGUUUAAAGGGAGCGUAGGUGGACUGGUAAGUCAGUUGUGAAAGUUUGCGGCUCAACCGUAAAAUUGCAGUUGAUACUGUCAGUCUUGAGUACAGUAGAGGUGGGCGGAAUUCGUGGUGUAGCGGUGAAAUGCUUAGAUAUCACGAAGAACUCCGAUUGCGAAGGCAGCUCACUGGACUGCAACUGACACUGAUGCUCGAAAGUGUGGGUAUCAAACAGGAUUAGAUACCCUGGUAGUCCACACAGUAAACGAUGAAUACUCGCUGUUUGCGAUAUACAGUAAGCGGCCAAGCGAAAGCAUUAAGUAUUCCACCUGGGGAGUACGCCGGCAACGGUGAAACUCAAAGGAAUUGACGGGGGCCCGCACAAGCGGAGGAACAUGUGGUUUAAUUCGAUGAUACGCGAGGAACCUUACCCGGGCUUAAAUUGCAGUGGAAUGAUGUGGAAACAUGUCAGUGAGCAAUCACCGCUGUGAAGGUGCUGCAUGGUUGUCGUCAGCUCGUGCCGUGAGGUGUCGGCUUAAGUGCCAUAACGAGCGCAACCCUUAUCUUUAGUUACUAACAGGUCAUGCUGAGGACUCUGGAGAGACUGCCGUCGUAAGAUGUGAGGAAGGUGGGGAUGACGUCAAAUCAGCACGGCCCUUACGUCCGGGGCUACACACGUGUUACAAUGGGGGGUACAGAAGGCAGCUAGCGGGUGACCGUAUGCUAAUCCCAAAAUCCUCUCUCAGUUCGGAUCGAAGUCUGCAACCCGACUUCGUGAAGCUGGAUUCGCUAGUAAUCGCGCAUCAGCCACGGCGCGGUGAAUACGUUCCCGGGCCUUGUACACACCGCCCGUCAAGCCAUGGGAGCCGGGGGUACCUGAAGUACGUAACCGCAAGGAUCGUCCUAGGGUAAAACUGGUGA